AUGGCCGAGGAGCAUCCUGCAGAUGCAGCACAUUGGAUGGCCGAGCAGCACAAUGCGGCCAUCAUCACCAGCCCACUGCACGACGACGAUCUGCUCGAGAGGAUCCUGAUCAGCCUCCCGGGGGCGGCGUUCCUAGCCCGCGCCGUGCCCGUCUCCGACCGCUGGUGCCGCGUCAUCUCCGACGAGGGCUUCCUCAAACGCUUCCGUUUCAGCCACCCGUCGUCGCCCCUCGUCGGCGUAUUCGUGGACAACAAAAACGAGCGCAUCCCCCGCUUCCACACCGGCAUCACCACCGCCAACCCCGGCAUCGCCUCCGCGGUGCGCCGCACCGACAUCUGCCUCACCCGCCUCGACGAUGCUCUGCGGUGGCGCCUCCGGGACUGCCGCAAUGGCCACCUCCUCCUCUCCGGAUCCGACGGUUCACUGUGCAUCUAUGACCCGCUCUCCGAGCGGCGUGUGCCCAUCGGCCCGCGCACGCAUCUUGACCAGCGCUGGAAGUGCCUCGGCGACUGCUUGCUUGACGGCCUUGCCCGCCAUAUGGUCUCCAUGGAGCAACGCGGCCAACAGACGCAUGCCGAGGAGUCCUUCCGCGUCAUAUCCUUGCAGUGGCAGAGCAACUCCAGAUUCAAUGUACGAGCCGUUGAGUAUAACUCCGGCACGCUUGAGUGGCGCGUCCACCCACAGACUGGGUGGACGAAGGUUCAGUUGACGAAAUUGCAAUUGAAGGCAAUGUAUGCAGCCGGCCACAUAUUCUGGCAAACUGAUGUCGCCAGAUUGCUGGUGCUAGACACGAGCUCCAUGGAGUUCUCAGAGCACGGUGUCCCAUGGGAGAUAGUCUCUACCAGUUGGGCCAUCGGAGAGCUCCGAGACGGCAAGGGCUGCCUCGUGUGCCUCCAAGGCCUCAAUAGCUCGUUCGGCAAAGAUGGCCUCAUAGUGGAGGAACCUCUCCGCCUGGAAGUCUGGGCACUAAAGAAGGAGGAGGAGGAUAAGCAAGCUAAAUUUUGUUGGAAGUGCGAGAAGGGUGUCCGGGUGAGCGAGAUGCUCCCGGAGGACGCUCGUGUGUACAAAGUCCACAAGGUCAUCAACGGACUAGCGUUAAUUGGCUGCACCAAGGGCUCCUAUGCUAUUGACUUGCAGACCAUGACUCUGUUGUCAAAGUUUGAGUCUGGUGGAGAUAUUUAUCCGUACCAGAUGUCGUGGCCACCUGCUGUGCUGGCUGCUGCUACUAGUGUGGUAUCCAGGCAUUUGGGAGCCAACCUGUCUAAUGAAGACAGUGUUCAGAUUCCUAGCAAGAACAUGGAUGGCCGAGAAGGCACCUCUUCUGGUGGAUCGGAAUCUGCAUCUCUCCAAAGUCAACUUCAGGUGGAAUCCCCUAAUGUCAGUGGAUCUAGUGGUAUUGAGGAUGCGUCAUGUGAUGAUGAUAACCAGCGUGCAUUGGCGUCUCUGGGUAUUGGAGAUGCAGUACACACAGAUCCAACAACAGCGGCAGCCAUCAAUGCCGUAAAUUCUCAUGCCAGCGAAGAAGAAACUGGUGGCUGGGCAUCUGACGGAAGAACAAAGCUAACUACAACUCUUGAGAAAGUAGCACAAGAAGUACACAUCAGCCAGACUCCUUUGAGUUCAGAGCAGAAGUACACAUCAGCCAAGCCUUUUAGGGAAGUCCAUGAGCAGAAGAAACGUUUCGCACGGAGAUUCACUGGGUGUCGCGAGGAGUUUUCUUCAAAGAAUAAAAGGAAGAUUCAUGAGGGAUCUAGUGCUCACGUCGAGCUUUCCACCAAUAGGAUUAAUUGUGUCAGCACCUCUCCUGCCGGUGGACCAGAAGCCCAUGAAGAGCCCAGGCCCACACAAGUGGUGGGCCGUCGCACAAGCAACCGACCACGUAAACCGAACAAGCUAAGACAUAAAUGUACCAAGCAUUACAAGGAACAACAUGAGCAGGGGAGAAGAAAGGACAUAUCAACAGAGAGCCUUACACAUAUGUGCUGGAGACACAGCAUUGCAGUCUGCACAAGUCUGAAUCUUUUGUGCUUGUGCAGUAUUUUUUGCACAUGUUCUCUGGAUACAGUUGCAGCAGUGUUAAGGAUGUAA
rnacentral:rRNA from 1 species